GAUGAACGCUGGCGGCGUGCCUAAUACAUGCAAGUCGAACGCUGGAGAUCUAGCUUGCUAGAUCGAAGGAGUGGCGAACGGGUGAGUAAUACAUAAGCAACCUACCCACGAAGACUGGGAUAAUCUCUGGAAACGGGGACUAAUACCGGAUAGGUAAUCGGAAGGCAUCUUCUGGUUAUUAAAGGUUAAAAACACUGGUGGAUGGGCUUAUGGCGCAUUAGUUAGUUGGUGAGGUAACGGCCCACCAAGACGAUGAUGCGUAGCCGGCCUGAGAGGGUGAACGGCCACAUUGGGACUGAGACACGGCCCAGACUCCUACGGGAGGCAGCAGUAGGGAAUUUUCGGCAAUGGGGGCAACCCUGACCGAGCAACGCCGCGUGAGUGAAGACGGCCUUCGGGUUGUAAAGCUCUGUUGUAAGGGAAGAACGGUAGAUAGAGAA
rnacentral:rRNA from 1 species